GUGAUAAGGCCAAAGGAAAAGGGGACAAGAAAGACGAAUGUGGAAGAAGCACAACUCCCACUAAUCCCAAAUGUAAGAAUGGCCCUGGUGCUAAAUCAACUGGUGGUAAAUCAACUGAUGGUAAAUCAGCUGGCGAAUGCAAAAAUGAGAAAAAAUGAACGGUCUAACCUAAAUUUUAUUGUUAAAUAAGUUUAGGGUCAUGCUUUAAGUAAAUGACUAACCAAUGUGAAUUGAUA